rnacentral:rRNA from 1 species
CAGCCGCCGCGGUAAUACCAGCCCCGCGAGUGGUCGGGACGGUUAUUGGGCCUAAAGCGCCCGUAGCCGGCCCGGCAAGUCCCUCCUUAAAGCCUCGGGCCCAACCCGAGGACGGGGGGGAUACUGCCGGGCUAGGGGGCGGGAGAGGCCGGCGGUACUCCCGGGGUAGGGGCGAAAUCCGUUAAUCCCGGGAGGACCACCAGUGGCGAAGGCGGCCGGCUGGAACGCGCCCGACGGUGAGGGGCGAAAGCCGGGGGAGCGAACCGGAUUAGAUACCCGGGUAGUCCCGGCUGUAAACGAUGCGGGCUAGCUGUUGGGCGGGCUUAGAGCCCGCCCAGUGGCGCAGGGAAGCCGUUAAGCCCGCCGCCUGGGGAGUACGGCCGCAAGGCUGAAACUUAAAGGAAUUGGCGGG